AUGGGAAGCAGGUUAAUAUUCCUGCACCGUCGUAUGAUGCGAUGGGGGGACGGAUCGCGGAAGGUUGUCCAACGGUUGGAAGUGUUGGUUUUUGACUCAUAGAAGGCGCUUAGGCAAAUCCGGGCGCGGAAUUCAAGGGGUCGAGACGAGGAACUUAGGUUCUGAAGCAAUCGGAAGUGGUUCCAAGAAAAGCCUCUAAGCUUCAGUCAUACGAGACCGUAC
rnacentral:rRNA from 1 species